AAUCUGGAUCACCAUCUAGUGGCGGACGGGUGAGUAACGCGUGAGGAACCUGCCUUUCAGUGGGGGACAACAUUUGGAAACGAAUGCUAAUACCGCAUAAGACCACAGUGUCGCAUGGCAUUUAUAUCAAAGAUUUAUCGCUGAAAGAUGGCCUCGCGUCUGAUUAGCUAGUUGGUGAGGUAACGGCCCACCAAGGCGACGAUCAGUAGCCGGACUGAGAGGUUGAACGGCCACAUUGGGACUGAGAUACGGCCCAGACUCC
rnacentral:rRNA from 1 species